rnacentral:rRNA from 1 species
ACUCAAAUGAAUUGACGGGGACCCGCACAAGCGGUGGAACAUGUGGUUUAAUUCGAGGCAACGCGAAGAACCUUACCAGGAUUCGACAUACCCUUCAUAGGUACCCCAAAAGGUACCGUCGGUUCGGCCGGAAGGGAUACAGGUGCUGCAUGGCUGUCGUCAGCUCGUGUCGUGAGAUGUUGGGUUAAGUCCCGCAACGAGCGCAACCCUCAUCCUCUGUUGCUAACAGGUAAUGCUGAGAACUCUGAGGAAACUGCCGGUGAUAAGCCGGAGGAAGGUGGGGAUGACGUCAAGUCCUCAUGGCCCUUACAUCCUGGGCUACACACGUGUUACAAUGGCGGUGACAAUGGGCUGCGAACUCGCAAGAGGGAGCGAAUCCCCAAAAGCCGCCUCAGUUUGGAUUGUACUCUGCAACUCGAGUGCAUGAAAUUGGAAUCGCUAGUAAUCGUAGAUCAGCACGCUACGGUGAAUACGUUCCCGGGUCUUGUACACACCGCCCGU